UUUAAUGUCCUUUCCCAGGCAAUUGCUUUCAUGUCCCCUGUGAGGCAUGGAUGUGGCAGGAUUGGGUUGGCUGCAGACCACUGAAACAUCUACAACUUCACAUCCUUCUUUUUUGUUCUGGAGCUCCUAUCCCAGUGUGUGCUUCUGGUACAGAUGAUAGUUGCUCAGCUUAUACCCAGCCAUUGUAGGUAAAGGAACCCUUGGUCUCCUGUUCCAGAAGAGAUUUUGAGAACAAUAUCAGUCUUCAAAAUAUAGUUCAAAGACAUAAAAGGGACAUCUAUUAUUCUUCAGAAAAAAGUUGAGGAAGGGAUUAAUAUCUUAGGCUCACUUUUUUUUUUUGUCAAUGCAGUGUUAAUGAUUUGUUUGCUUGUGCCGGGGGAAUAGCAGCUCAAACCUAAAAGGUAAUAUCCAUGCCACUCAGCACCAGCUGUCCCUGCAAAACUAAAAAAACAUGUGCUCUUGAAAACACCUGCAUCAGUUAGGUGACAAAGAAACAAAGAAUGAACUUUGUUUCUUGGGAAUGUGCCGGCUUGGGAAUGUGCAGCCUGAGUUAGACCUUAGUUUUAUAUCUAUAUGUAAAACAUUACUGAAGAGACUCCUCGUGUGGAGCACUGUCUGGGGAAGAAAUUGCUGUUAAAACAACAGAAGCUGGAAGCAUAUGUGACACCCAGCUUCUCAGACUUCUUCAGUUCUAAACCAUAACACAAGAUGGCAGUGCACGUCAUCACUUUGGCAAGGAUCUCAACAGAGACCUGGAUUGGGAAAUCUGUUUGAUGUCACAUGGGUGGAUAUUGUGCAGAUCAUACCUUCUCUAGAGUUGGAAUGUUUUGAAAGUACUGAGAUUUUUAAUGGUGCUGGAAAACUCAUAGCAUUUGUUUUCGCUAGGAAUUAGAGAAGAAAGUUGGCUUUAUUCUCUAAUAACAAAGCAGUUUAAAGAGUGACACAUGAAUGACUGCUUUUCUUUUUUUUGGGACCCUGGGUGAAGAUAGCAGAAGUUGUACUUUUUGCCUUUGAGGAAUGUAUGUAUGUAUGUGUAAUAUCCUUCAAAGAUAUUUGCCAUGUGCUCCAUCGUGGUGUAUUGGUACACGUGAUGCGCUCCCACACUCUAAGCAGAAAGCACAAGAAUGAGUCUCCUUGGAUUUGAUGUUGUUCACCUUGAGGAGAAGUUAAAGGCAAAUCACACUUUUUUUUAAUAAUUUCAUAAUUAAAUGAAGAUAAGUAUGGUUUAGUCUGGGAGAUCUGAGGGGAGGUUGUAGCCAGGCAGGGUUGGUCUCUUCUCCCAGAUAACCAGUGACAUGGUAAGAGGUGAUGGCCAGGGGAGGUUUAGGUUCAAUGCUAGGAAAUAUUUAUUCACUGAAAGGGUGGUCAGGCAUUGGAACAGGCUGUGAAGGAGGUGGUAGAAUUACCAUCCCUGGAAGUAUUCAAAAAAUGGGUGGAUGUGGCACUUGAGACCAUAGUUUAGUGGUAACAUGGCAGUGAUUGGAUCAGGGUUGGACUGGAUGAUCUCUGAGGUCUUUUCCAACCGAAAUGAUUCCAUGAGUCUAUGAAAAGUACUGGUUUCAAUUCUACUACUUUGUGGCCUUGGGCAAAUGUGUUAGUUACUGUUACUCCGUUCAUUAAGUGGUUUUAUUAAGGAUUUGCUGAGUUAUAAGCUUGUUUCUUAAUGCCUAAAUUAAAUAAGUAGCUAUGUGAAGUCUGAGGUACAACUUAUUGGAAGCAUAAAUCAUCCUCUUUGGUAUUUGUGUAGUUCAGAUAAAAUACAUUUCAAGCUAACUGAGUAGAGGAGCUGUAAAUAGUACAUCAUGACUGGGUAAGUUAAGAGUUCUCAUGACAGUUGAAAGGGGGAAUAAUACCAAAUUUGAGAGUGGCCUACUUUGAUAGCUGUAGUGUAGCUUAUGCCCCUAUUCCUUACUCACUUAAACCUGUAUGAAAGAUGGAAUCUGAAUUCUGGAGGUGGCUGGUGAGUAUUUUGUGCCUCUCUGCUGAUACCAGUGCUGCUGCUGAAUCUGACAGUGUGGUGCUGUGAGUUGUUCCUUAGUGGAAGAGGGCAUAACUGUACAAAAUAUGUAUGUCUUGAACUGUGUUGAUUUUGGAGGCUCAAAGACAACUCUUAAACAGGGAUGUUUUAUUUCUGAUUGGCAUUCACUACUGCUGCUUCCUGAGGUAAUGUAACUGAGAGUUCAGAAAUCUUCAGCAGGUCUUUUUGGUGUGGCAUUGGUGUUACCUAAAACCGUGUAGCUGAGGUUCUGUGUUCUGGCAGCAAAGAUCUCACCAUAGGCUGAAAAGAAGAUUCAUGUGUUAGAAAUCAAUUCAUAUAAGUGACUGUUAAGUGUGUAGGUGUUUGUUGUGAUCAGUGCUGUUCAAAAAGGCUUUGCAAGUUGCCUACAGUUUCAGAGAAAGAUUAGCUUACCUUCAUUUUAGUAUGUUGAAUCAUAAUGGAGAAAUACAUUGGUUACUGGAGCACAUGUUUACAUUAAUAUUCACAAUUUCACACAUUGCCCAGUACACCCAGAAGGUGUGCAACCUGAAAUUGCAGAAGGUAGUCUAAAAAAAAAAAAAAGCUGCUUGCUCUGUUGUCACAUACAUCUGAGUAAGAUUAGGUGUGUGGCAUCUUUGUUGUCUUUGGCUCUUUCUAUUUAAACCUCCAGGAAAUCUGAAGACUCAGACCUUUGAUAGGGGAAUUCUCUGAAGUGAAGUCACAGAAGUGUUGAUUUGAGAUUCUCCUUUCUUCUUCCUGCCUACCAGAAAAGACUUCUAAGAAGAAUUCCAUUUUUCCAGAUUUUCAAUGCCUUCCUAAUGGCCAACAACAUGUCUGUCAGCUGCUACCCUAUUUGUCAUUAUGUUAAUCAUAAAAAGAUUGUAUAUUGUAUUGUUGCUACAAGUAUCUGAUUUUCAGCUUUGCUGCUGCCUUUAGGAUACUUGGGCCUCUCGUAGCUCAGUGCUUAGAGAUCUGAAAGAAACUCAUUGAUGCACUCUGGAUCUUCAUAUACCCAUGUUACAAAAUAUUCCAGUAUGUCUGUGCUGCAGAAGAACAGCAGUCCAGCAAUCUGCAUAGAGGGAUCAACUGGACACUUCUUUUCUAGAAGUUGCCCGAAGACAAACCCUCUGCCAGUGAGGAGAGUUCAGGAAUCUCGUAUCAACUCUUAAUCUCCCUUUCCUUGACCAUUUUUUUCUGGAAGCUGAACAGAAAAGUGAAAUGAAGAUCUCAGACACCCUUAGGCUGACAAUUUCAGACUCAUUAAGUGGCAAGGAACAUGUGACAUUGUAAUGUAAAUGCCUUUUUGGGCACUAAUCUACACUUGUGCAACAGGAAUGUCAUCACUGCGUGCCUUGGAACAUUUUAGGCAUAGGAGUCAAGGGCUUGAAAGGAUUAGGCACUGGCAAUAAAUUUUGGCAGUGCCUUGGUCUAGAACAUGCUAGUCUGUGUGAUGCAUGCAGAUAGAAUAAACAUGGAAGGAAGCCUUAAAAAGAUGAAGUCAUUUCCAUGCAAAGCUGACAGUAUUUCUGGUGUAUUGUCGUCUGAGAAUUGGUUUCCUAGGAGGAUUAUUGAUGAGGAUCUGAACUCUGGUAAAGAUGUCUCCAGGCUGACACUGGCGUCCCAUGUUGAUGUACAGCUGAAACAGGGGAGGCAGGAAAAAUGGCAAGGAAAGAAGGCAACUACAGCUUGUCUCCACUUUACAGAAGAAGCAUCAGCACACAGAUGAAACAGCUUUGCCUCAGAGCUACCUCAGCUCAGUGCAUCUCUGAAAUGAAGUUGGAAACUGAACACUGACAUUCAGAGGCCCAAGUCUAUGGCUGAAUUACUAGUCUGUCUUAUGUCAUGGGGAUUUAGACAAGAAUUGUCACUGGGUAAAAGAGAGGAGAAGCACUGGGAAGCAUUAUAUUCCUGCUUUGUGGUGAUUUUUGUACUAUGUGUUCUCUUCUCAUCCGUUUACUCUCACCACCUCCCAGAUCAUCACAUUGAUCCUUCUUGCUCCUACAGACCUUGUGGCUGAGGUUCCCUGGAAAUAUCUGAAGAGUGAUUAGGUUAUGUAAGCAGUAAUAUUCUCCUCAGGCUUUUUGACAGCAAAACUUCAGAGUUAAUCCUAUGGGGCUUAAUUAGUUCAGUUAAAAUGUUAUUUCACACAUGCUUCAAGUGCCAGCAUCAUGCUGUGGUGUUCUUCCCAUGUGUGAGCAGUGACAUCACUGAAAAGGGAUGGAGUGUCCUGUGCUGCAGUCAGACCAUGUAGUCAGUAACCUUGGUGGGGUCAGAACAAAAUAAAACUCCUCAUUGUUCUUUAAACAGCAUUGAAACAGGAGGGGUCUGGUGCUUCUCUCUUAUCUCAUUCAUUCCUACCACAAUAACAGUAUGUCCUGUGCUGGAGGAGGCAGUCGCUGGGAUGGGUAGGAGCUGUGGAUUUCCUGGUCUGUACUAAUCUUUUGGUAGAUUCUCAUCAAUCAAGAAGCAUGUAUCCCACAGCUGCAAAUUGCAAUCCAAACCCUUAGUACUCAGUUUUCAAUGGAUUGGUCUCACCUCUAGCUCCUGGCUUAAGUACAUCAGUCUUAUGUUUUACCAUAUCAGGGUAUCGAGUUAGUCUGGUUGCUGUUUUCCAUCAUACACACAUUUCCCACAUUUCUUUCUGGGAAUAGGAACUGUGAAGUGACCCUAAAACUGAUACCACUUUUGUACUGCUAAAAUAAUGAAAUACUUCUUUUGUACUCCU
rnacentral:lncRNA from 1 species